GCGGGUAUAGCUCAGGGGUUAGAGCGCGUCACUGUGGCUGACGAGGUCGUGGGUUCGAGACCCAUUAUCCGCC
rnacentral:tRNA from 1 species